rnacentral:rRNA from 1 species
GACGAACCGUACAAACGUUAUUCGGAAUCACUGGGCUUAAAGGGUGCGUAGGCGGCGAGGAAAGUUGGGUGUGAAAUCCCUCGGCUCAACCGAGGAACUGCGCUCAAAACUACCUUGCUUGAGGAAGAUAGAGGUGAGCGGAACUUGGGGUGGAGCGGUGAAAUGCGUUGAUAUCCUAAGGAACGCCAGUGGCGAAAGCGGCUCACUGGAUCUUUUCUGACGCUGAGGCACGAAAGCUAGGGGAGCGAACGGG